rnacentral:piRNA from 1 species
UGUGAAUGUGGAACUGUUUUAGACAGUAGC